GACGAACGCUGGCGGCGUGCUUAAUACAUGCAAGUCGAACGGAAAGGUCCUGCUUGCAGGGUCUUCGCGUGGCGCACGGGUGUGUAACCCGUGGGUUAACUGCUCUGCACUUUGGCUUAAGCCUGGGAAACUCGGUUUAAUACCGGAUAGAAGACCUCAUUAGUGUGGUGGUUGGAAAGUUUUUUCUGUGUAGGUUGAGCUCGCGGCCUAUCAGCUUGUUGGUGGGGUUAUGGCCUACCAAGGCGGGUACGGGUAGCCGGCCUGAGAGAGUGUUCGGCGACAUAGAGACUUAGAGACGGCCCAGGCACCGACGGGAGGGAGCAGGGGGGAAGAUUGCACAAGGGGCGCAAGGCUGAUGCAGCGACGCCGCGUGGGGGAUGAAGGCCUUCGGGGUGUAAACUCCUUUCGCGAGUGAAGAGGCUUUUUUGUGACGGUACCUAAAUAAGAAGCACCGGCUAACUACGUG
rnacentral:rRNA from 1 species